rnacentral:rRNA from 1 species
UACGGAGGAUGCGAGCGUUAUCCGGAUUUAUUGGGUUUAAAGGGUGCGUAGGCGGGAUGCCAAGUCAGCGGUAAAAAUGCGGUGCUCAACGCCGUCGAGCUGUUGAAACUGGCGUUCUUGAGUGGGCGAGAAGUAUGCGGAAUGCGUGGUGUAGCGGUGAAAUGCAUAGAUAUCACGCAGAACUCCGAUUGCGAAGGCAGCAUACCGGCGCCCUACUGACGCUGAGGCACGAAAGCGUGGGUAUCGAACAGG